GGCCAGGCUGCGGGCGGAGCUGGUGAGAGAGCGGGCUAGGCGGACGGCUCCCAGGGCUCCCUCUCCCGGGUCCUCUCCUCCAGCUGCAGAGCCGCUGGCCGCGUAGCCCACCCGACGCCUUGGGGGGCCCCUCAGGUGGAAAUGCAUUUCCAAAACCACCAGCUGGCUAGAACUUUACUGGACCUAAACAUGAAAGUGCAGCAAUUGAAAAAGGAGUAUGAACUGGAAAUUACAUCAGACUCCCAAAGCCCAAAAGAUGAUGCUGCGAAUCCGGAAUAAAGAAAUGCACACGCAAGGGCUGGGCGCGGUGGCUCACGCCUGUAAUCCCAGCACUUUGGGAGGCCGAGGCGGGCGGAUCAAGACGUCAGGAGAUUGAGACCAUCCUGGCUAACACUGUGAAACCCUGCCUCUACUAAAAAUACAAAAAAUUAGCCAGACGUGGUGGCAGGCACCUGUAGUCCCUGCUACUCAGGAGUCUGAGGCAGGAGAAUGGCGUGAAC
rnacentral:lncRNA from 10 species